UUAGAGGCUUGUAUGAAUGGCUGAAUGAGAUAAAAUCUGUCUUAAUUUAAUUAAUUUAUGAAUUUUAAUUUUUAGUAAAAAUGCUAAAAUAAUAUUAAAAGACGAGAAGACCCUAUAAAUCUUUAUUUUUAUAAAUAUUUAAUUAUAUGUAUAAAAUUUAUUAUUUUAUAUUUAUAAAAAUUUUAUUGGGGUGAUAAUGAAAUUUAAUAAACUUUCAUAUUUAAUAAAUAUUUAUUUAUAAUAUAUUUAAUGAUCCAAUAAUAUUGAUUAAAAAUUUAAG
rnacentral:rRNA from 1 species